AACGAACGCUGGCGGCAGGCUUAACACAUGCAAGUCGAACGGCAGCACAGCAGAGCUUGCUCUGUGGGUGGCGAGUGGCGGACGGGUGAGGAAUACAUGGGAAUCUGCCCAGUCGUGGGGGAUAACGUAGGGAAACUUACGCUAAUACCGCAUGCGCCCUUCGGGGGAAAGCCGGGGACCUUCGGGCCUGGCGCGAUUGGAUGAGCCCAUGUCGGAUUAGCUAGUUGGCGGGGUAAAGGCCCACCAAGGCGACGAUCCGUAGCUGGUAGGAGAGGAUUAUCAGCCACACUGGAACUGAGACACGGUUCAGACUCCUACGGGAGGAAGCAGUAGGGAAUAUUGGACAAUGGGCGCAAGCCUGAUCCAGCCAUGCCGCGUGAGUGAAGAAGGCCUUCGGGUUGUAAAGCUCUUUUGUCCGGAAAGAAAAGCAUCCAGUUAAUACCUGGGUGUCCUGACGGUACCGGAAGAAUAAGCACCGGCUAACUUCGUGCCAGCCGCCGCCGUAAAAC
rnacentral:rRNA from 1 species